rnacentral:rRNA from 1 species
CCCGACCGGUGGAUCACUCGGCUCGCGGAU